CGGAGAGUUUGAUCCUGGCUCAGGAUGAAUGCUGGCGGCGUGCCUAACACAUGCAAGUCGAGCGGCAGCGAGUUUUACACUGAAUUCUGGAAGCUUCUGGGUAAUAUAGAAGAUCUAUUCAAGAAUUUUGUGUAAAAUGUCGGCGAGCGGCGGACGGCUGAGUAACGCGUAGGAAUUUGCCCCAAAGUGAGGAAUAACUGCCCGAAAGGGUAGCUAAUGCCGCAUAUGGUCUUCGGAUUAAAGUCUUCGGGCGCUUUGGGAGAAGCCUGCGUUGGAUUAGGUAGUUGGUAGGGUAAUGGCCUACCAAGCCGACGAUCCAUAGCUGGUCUGAGAGGAUGAUCAGCCAGACUGGAACUGAGACACGGUCCAGACUCCUACGGGAGGCAGCAGUGAGGAAUCUUCCACAAUGGGCGAAAGCCUGAUGGAGCAACGCCGCGUGAAGGAUGAAGGCCUUCGGGUUGUAAACUUCUUUUAUGAGUGAAGAAUAUGACGGUAACUCAUGAAUAAGCACCGGCUAACUACGUGCCAGCAGCCGCGGUCAUACGUAGGGUGCAAGCAUUAUCCGGAGUGACUGGGCGUAAAGAGUUGCGUAGGCGGUUUAAUAAGUGAAUAGUGAAACCUGGUGGCUCAACCAUACAGACUAUUAUUCAAACUGUUAAACUCGAGAAUGGUAGAGGUAACUGGAAUUUCUAGUGUAGGAGUGAAAUCCGUAGAUAUUAGAAGGAACACCGAUGGCGUAGGCAGGUUACUGGGCCAUUUCUGACGCUAAGGCACGAAAGCGUGGGGAGCGAACCGGAUUAGAUACCCGGGU
rnacentral:rRNA from 1 species